GACGAACGCUGGCGGCGUGCUUAACACAUGCAAGUCGAACGGAAAGGCCCUGCUUUUGUGGGGUGCUCGAGUGGCGAACGGGUGAGUAACACGUGAGUAACCUGCCCUUGACUUUGGGAUAACUUCAGGAAACUGGGGCUAAUACCGGAUAGGAGCUCCUGCUGCAUGGUGGGGGUUGGUAAGUUUCGGCGGUUGGGGAUGGACUCGCGGCUUAUCAGCUUGUUGGUGGGGUAGUGGCUUACCAAGGCUUUGACGGGUAGCCGGCCUGAGAGGGUGACCGGCCACAAUGGGACUGAGAUACGGCCCAGACUCCUACGGGAGGCAGCAGUGGGGAAUAUUGCACAAUGGGCGGAAGCCUGAUGCAGCAACGCCGCGUGCGGGAUGACGGCCUUCGGGUUGUAAACCGCUUUCGCCUGUGACGAAGCGUGAGUGACGGUAAUGGGUAAAGAAGCACCGGCUAACUACGUG
rnacentral:rRNA from 1 species